CUGUUAUCGAUGCAAUGGUAUGGUUUUAUCGCGAGAACAUUCGCCAGGUUCGCGUAUCAGCAACGUGGAAAUGCUCACGGUAGUUCUGAAAUAUGAUCGACCUGCGCAACAAUUUACUCGCGAUAUUAUCUCACGGCAAAUAGGCUAGAAGACGUAGAGGUACUUCCCGUGAGUCAGGUGGCCGCUCGUAAAAUCUGAUACAUUGUGCGGCCAGCCGUGGUGUAUUCGUCAUGUCGAGACACACCGAAGACACGCGAUCGACGAAACGAAAGGAUUGACCCCGUGGAACGUCCGUGACCAACCAUCUUCUUUUUCUCUGCCAGGCACCUACGACUCCAGCGUUCCACGAAGUAUCGAUUUAUGGGGGACGAAACGUCAUAUCGACACGAUGAUUUCUCAUCGGCUAAAUUCAAACAACAUCGCACCCAGUGCGUCUUUAAAGCGCUCAGUCGAUCCAUCGGCAAUUUUUCACGCGAUUCCAAUCCACGAGGGAAGCGCGUCUGGCUGACGACGCGGAGGCGGCCCAUGCGAGCCGGCCCGCACAAAGGCGCAUCCUCGCGAGGAAAUUUAUCGCGACGGGACGACGUUUCCCGUGAAAAGCGUCGAAGAAAGAAGAUAGAAACGAGGCGAGGAGCGCGGAGAACGCAGCAAUCUGGUGAAUAGGCGCGCUUUCCAGAAGCAUCGCGAAUCAAUUCCCGGAUUGACUCUGCACCAGGUUGCCGCGCCGAUUUUUCAGCUUUCUCCAGGCGGAAAACUCGCACGUCUCGUAUCCAUGGCAUAUUUGCCUGGUUACUGAAUGGAAAAUGGAUCGACAAGAAUGCAAUAUCGGAACUCGCGAACAAUCGUUCGAUGUCAAGUAAUAGAGACGAUAUCGAUAUGCCAAGAAUUUUUGUUACCUUUGAUCGUUGAGUGAAGCCCUUCGUGUUUAAGGUAUUUAUUUAUUUAAUGAUUAUUUAACGUACUUCACUACUAUUAUGGCUACUAUAGUGAUCGAUACUGGACUUGUCAUUGGCGAUUUGCAAGUUAAUUAAAUCAUUCGAAUUAAAGAAACGUUGAUGGAAAUUCAGUAAAUUUUUGAUACUUUUGAUAUCAUUUGAUCAAUUAUUUUGAUUUAAAGUGCCAGUUACAUGUUAUAAAAUACUUGGCAAAAGUGUUCGUGUACCCUAUCUCAAUCAACAUAGAUCAUAUUUUAUUCUACAAAAAUACUCGAACAACUAAGAAGACAAAGUUUUGCCAAGUCUUAUUAUUUCAAAGUAUAUCUAGAUUACGUUAAUACUUUGACUGCCACAUUGAUCAUAUAUGACCGGCCACGGUUGUCAUUGGUGACCGAAGCGCUCGAACUUCUUACAAUUGUAAAAAUUGAAUGAAAAUUGACAGUUAGGGCAUUUGGAAUAUAACCGAUAAAUAGAAGAUGCUUUGAAAUACAAAAUUACCCAUUGAACAAUUAAACAUUUUUAUUCAAACAUCAAUAAAAAGGAAGAAUGAGAACAAAUCUUGCAGCUAACAGUGCACUGCGUUUGCAUCCAUAUCUUUGAGGGGUAAUCUACAAAUAUUAUUAUAAACAAACCUUAGAAAAUAAUUGUA